GAUGAACGCUGGCGGCGUGCCUAAUACAUGCAAGUCGAGCGAACGGACGAGAAGCUUGCUUCUCUGAUGUUAGCGGCGGACGGGUGAGUAACACGUGGAUAACCUACCUAUAAGACUGGGAUAACUUCGGGAAACCGUAGCUAAUACCGGAUAAUAUUUUGAACCGCAUGGUUCAAAAGUGAAAGACGGUCUUGCUGUCACUUAUAGAUGGAUCCGCGCUGCAUUAGCUAGUUGGUAAGGUAACGGCUUACCAAGGAAACGAUGCAUAGCCGACCUGAGAGGGUGAUCGGCCACACUGGAACUGAGACACGGUCCAGACUCCUACGGGAGGCAGCAGUAGGGAAUCUUCCGCAAUGGGCGAAAGCCUGACGGGGCAACGCCGCGUGAGUGAUGAAGGUCUUCGGAUCGUAAAACUCUGUUAUUAGGGAAGAACAUAUGUGUAAGUAACUGUGCACAUCUUGACGGUACCUAAUCAGAAAGCCACGGCUAACUACGUG
rnacentral:rRNA from 1 species